GACGAACGCUGGCGGCGUGCUUAACACAUGCAAGUCGAACGCUGAAGGCCUGGCUUUUGUUGGGUUGGAUGAGUGGCGAACGGGUGAGUAACACGUGAGUAACCUGCCCUCUUCUUUGGGAUAACGCCCGGAAACGGGUGCUAAUACUGGAUAUUCACUGAUCUUCGCAUGGGGGUUGGUGGAAAGGUUUGUUCUGGUGGGGGAUGGGCUCGCGGCCUAUCAGCUUGUUGGUGGGGUGAUGGCCUACCAAGGCUUUGACGGGUAGCCGGCCUGAGGGGGUGACCGGUCACGUUGGGACUGAGAUACGGCCCAGACUCCUACGGGAGGCAGCAGUGGGGAAUAUUGCACAAUGGGCGAAAGCCUGAUGCAGCGACGCCGCGUGAGGGAUGGAGGCCUUCGGGUUGUAAACCUCUUUCGCUCAUGGUCAAGCCGCAACUGUGGGUUGUGGUGAGGGUAGUGGGUAAAGAAGCGCCGGCUAACUACGUG
rnacentral:rRNA from 1 species